rnacentral:rRNA from 1 species
GCUGUACCUCAGCAUUUAGGCUGCACUGUGCUGAUCACAUCUGAUCUCAGAAGCUAAGCCAAGUCAGAGCUGGUUAGUAUUUGGAUGAGAAAUCAUCUUAGAAUAUCAGAUGUUGUAAGCU